rnacentral:rRNA from 1 species
AGGUGAUCCAACCGCAGGUUCCCCUACGGUUACCUUGUUACGACUUCACCCCAGUCAUGAAUCACAAAGUGGUAAGCGCCCUCCCGAAGGUUAAGCUACCUACUUCUUUUGCAACCCACUCCCAUGGUGUGACGGGCGGUGCGUACAAGGCCCGGGAACGUAUUCACCGUGGCAUUCUGAUCCACGAUUACUAGCGAUUCCGACUUCAUGGAGUCGAGUUGCAGACUCCAAUCCGGACUACGACGCACUUUAUGAGGUCCGCUUGCUCUCGCGAGGUCGCUUCUCUUUGUAUGCGCCAUUGUAGCACGUGUGUAGCCCUGGUCGUAAGGGCCAUGAUGACUUGACGUCAUCCCCACCUUCCUCCAGUUUAUCACUGGCAGUCUCCUUUGAGUUCCCGGCCGGACCGCUGGCAACAAAGGAUAAGGGUUGCGCUCGUUGCGGGACUUAACCCAACAUUUCACAACACGAGCUGACGACAGCCAUGCAGCACCUGUCUCACGGUUCCCGAAGGCACAUUCUCAUCUCUGAAAACUUCCGUGGAUGUCAAGACCAGGUAAGGUUCUUCGCGUUGCAUCGAAUUAAACCACAUGCUCCACCGCUUGUGCGGGCCCCCGUCAAUUCAUUUGAGUUUUAACCUUGCGGCCGUACUCCCCAGGCGGUCGACUUAACGCGUUAGCUCCGGAAGCCACGCCUCAAGGGCACAACCUCCAAGUCGACAUCGUUUACGGCGUGGACUACCAGGGUAUCUAAUCCUGUUUGCUCCCCACGCUUUCGCACCUGAGCGUCAGUCUUCGUCCAGGGGGCCGCCUUCGCCACCGGUACUCCUCCAGAUCUCUACGCAUUUCACCGCUACACCUGGAAUUCUACCCCCCUCUACGAGACUCAAGCUUGCCAGUAUCAGAUGCAGUUCCCAGGUUGAGCCCGGGGAUUUCACAUCUGACUUAACAAACCGCCUGCGUGCGCUUUACGCCCAGUAAUUCCGAUUAACGCUUGCACCCUCCGUAUUACCGCGGCUGCUGGCACGGAGUUAGCCGGUGCUUCUUCUGCGGGUAACGUCAAUGAGCAAAGGUAUUAACUUUACUCCCUUCCUCCCCGCUGAAAGUACUUUACAACCCGAAGGCCUUCUUCAUACACGCGGCAUGGCUGCAUCAGGCUUGCGCCCAUUGUGCAAUAUUCCCCACUGCUGCCUCCCGUAGGAGUCUGGACCGUGUCUCAGUUCCAGUGUGGCUGGUCAUCCUCUCAGACCAGCUAGGGAUCGUCGCCUUGGUGAGCCGUUACCCCACCAACAAGCUAAUCCCAUCUGGGCACAUCCGAUGGCAAGAGGCCCGAAGGUCCCCCUCUUUGGUCUUGCGACGUUAUGCGGUAUUAGCUACCGUUUCCAGUAGUUAUCCCCCUCCAUCAGGCAGUUUCCCAGACAUUACUCACCCGUCCGCCACUCGUCAGCGAAGCAGCAAGCUGCUUCCUGUUACCGUUCGACUUGCAUGUGUUAGGCCUGCCGCCAGCGUUCAAUCUGAGCCAUGAUCAAACUCU